CUUCCGCUCGCCGCGUCUGGCGAUCGCGGCUACGGAGACCCAGGAGGGCCCGGCCAGGAGACCCGCUCUCUAGAGCGGCGAGGGCAGGGGUUGCUAGGGCGCCGGGGUCGAACCCGCGCUUCCUGCAAGUCUUAGGGCCGCAUCCCUGCCGAGGCGGGCGUUGGGAAGGGUGGGAGAUGGGAAGGUGCGGUGGUGCGGGGAGGGGAGGGCGCCGGGAGGGGUCGGAGAGGGGUCGCGGGUUUUGGGGCUGCGAGGAGGGAAGGAGGGAAGAGGAGGGAAGAGGAGGGCAAGGGGAGGGGAGGGCGGGGAGGAGAGAGGGCGCGGGCAGGGGAGUGGAGGGCGCGGGGAGGGGAGGGCGCGGGGAGGGGAGGGCGGGGAGGAGAGAGGGUGCGGAGAGGAGGGCGGGAAGGAGAGGGGACGGGGGGAGGGAGGGGACGGGGGGAGGGAGGGGAGGGUGGGGGAAGGAGGGGAGGGGAGGGUGGGGGAAGGAGGGAAGGGGAGGGGAGGGGAGGAGAGGGCGGGGAGGGGAGGGGAGGGCGCGGGCUGCGGGGCUGCGGGGAGGGAGGGGCGGGUUCAGGGCUGUGGGCCCCGCCCGGGGCACCGCCUGGAUCAGGCCUGAGGCCGGCUGCAGAGAACUUGGGCACCGCGGACCAGAUUGCUGGUCACCAGGAUGAAAAAUAAAAAAGACCCAAACAGCUCCCCCGACCCCGCCUUCGCGCAGGCCCCUGGCGUUCUGCUCAGGGGUUUUUGUUUAAUGAAGAACGUCAAACAUCUGGCAAGGUCGGAAUGAUUUUGCGAUGAGCACCGCCUGGAUUCUGCGGUGAAAGCGACUGUGUGCGCGCUCACGGCCUCGCCUGUCCCUGCAUCAGCCCAUCUCGUCAGGCAGAUCAACAUGAAGCUGUAAAACGGAUGACUUAGGCCGGGCGUCGUGAUGGGCGCCUGUAAUCCCAGCUACUCGGGAGGCUGAGGCAGGAAAACCGCUUGAACCUGGGAGGCGGAGGUUGCAGUGAACCGCGGUUGCACCACUACACUCCAGCCUGGGAGACAGAGCGAGACUCCGUCUCAAAAUAAAUAAAUAAAACAUAUGACUUAGGUAUAUACGCAUGGGGGGAAUCCUCGUAAGGCAAGAACGUGCUGCACAUUCUGGGGACUGGGACAGGAUAAGCACACGAGUAGAUCUAAGUCACUGGAAAUACCUGGUUUUGCUGUUGGAGGGGGGCUUGCAGGUGCUCGUUAUAUUAUUACGCUGUUGUAGUAAAACGAUGUUAGUUACAGUAUUAAAUUGCAAAUGUCAGUAUCCAUCACCGCCAAAACAGCGUGCAUACCACUAGCAUAUGAUUUUUGUAGUUUUUUAAUGUUAAGUUUGUAAUGAAGUGCACAAACUUAAUUA
rnacentral:lncRNA from 1 species